CGCCUGCCGGCGACCGGCGCACGGGUGAGUAACACGUAUGCGACCUGCCCCCGCAGGGGGAUAACCGGGAGAAAUCCCGACUAAUACCGCGUAACGCCGCGGACCUGCAUGGGUCUGCGGCCAAAGGAAGCGAUUCCGGCGGGGAUGGGCAUGCGGCGCAUUAGCUAGUCGGCGGGGUAACGGCCCACCGAGGCGACGAUGCGUAGGGGUUCUGAGAGGAACGGUCCCCCACACUGGUACUGGGACACGGACCAGACUCCUACGGAAGGCAGCAG
rnacentral:rRNA from 1 species